GAUAGAUUAUUUUCUAAAUUUAAUAUUAGUUGAAAUUUAGCUAGAUAAUUAUUUGUUUGUUUUAUAUAUAUAUAAAUAUUAAAAAUUUUAAAAUUUAAAUAAUUUAUAUUUUUAAUAUAUAGAUUUAUUAAUUUAAUUUAUGUUAAUAAUAGAAAUACAUAUAUAUUUUAGAGAAAAUUGUGCCAGCAUCAGCGGUUAUACAAUUAUUAAUAAAAUAAUUUAUUUUAUUAAAUAAUAUUAUAAUUAUUUAUAAUUAUUAAAUUAAUUUUAUGAUAAAAUAAAAUUUAAUUAAUAUAGUUAUUUUAAUUAUUAAUUUAAUUAGUUAAAUAAAAUUAUAAACUAGGAUUAGAUACCCUAUUAUAUUUAUUAAAAUAAAAUAUAAAUUAGUAAAUAAUGAAAAUUAAAAAUUAUGACGGUAUUUUAAUCUAUUUAGAGGAUUAUGUUCUGUAAUUGAUAAUACACGAUAAGAAAAACUAAAUUAUUUAUUCUUGUAUGUUCGUUAUAAAAAAAUUUUAAGAAAAUUUAUUUUUUAAAUUUAUUAAAAUGAAUUAUUUCAGAUCAAUAUUAGGUUAUUGUUUAGAAGAAAUGUAAUACUAUUAAAUUAUUAAAUUAGAUUUAUUAUUUAAUUAUAAGAUUUAAUUGGAUUUAAAAGUAAAACUAUUUAAUUUAAUAGUUUGAAUAAAGUUUUAAAAUAUGUACAAAUUGCCCGUCACUUUUAAGUUAUUAGAAUAAGUCGUAACAAAGUAAGAGUACUGGAAAGUGUUCUUAGUUAUAU
rnacentral:ncRNA from 1 species